GACAGAGGUGCCGAGCGUUAGGCGGAAUCACUGGGCUUAAAGCGUGUGUAGGCGGGUCGUUAAGUGUCUUGUGAAAUCCCACCGCUCAACGGUGGAACUGCUGGGCAUACUGGCGAUCUUGAGCCACCUAGGGGCAGACGGAACAAGCGGUGGAGCGGUGAAAUGCGUAGAUAUCGUUUGGAACGCCAAUGGUGAAAACAGGUCGCUGGGGAUGAGCUGACGCUGAGACACGAAAGCCAGGGGAGCAAACGGA
rnacentral:rRNA from 1 species